rnacentral:piRNA from 1 species
CAAGGAAAUCAUGGGAAACUGUUAU